AUUGAUAGGAACCAGGAGGUGAAAAUGGCUCUCAUAUUAGGGCUCCUACCCAUCCAGGCCCUGAGCCUGCCUUCACCCCCCACGACGCCUGCCUCCCACAGACACGCCCCUCAGGACCUCCUUAGCCCUCCUUCCAUCUCCCCAACUCCAGCCAGAGGGACUUCAGAGAAAGCCUAGAAGUUCCUUCCUCCCAAACAGACGUGGCAACCUGGUCUUGGUCUUAUUAAUCAGGAAUGUUCUCCAGAGACCCUGCUGGAGGCUGGCAUGUCGGCUACAAGCCUGUCUUCAGCAGCAGGGGACUGAUUUCUCUGCAGAAAGCUUGCAGAAGCCCUACUCUGCAAAUGCGUCAGCCGCCAUUCCAUGAUCCUGCCUUGGGAGGUCUGUGAGGGCCCAGCCCACUUCCCACCGGAAGUUCUGAAGUUCUGGAUCAGGGUGCUGGUAGGGUUGGGCCUCUUGAGGGCUGAGAGAGAAUGUUGUGGCAUAUGCUAGCAAGAUGGCUCAGUGACUAAGGCUUGCCACUAAUCCUGACAAUUGAAGUUAGAUCCCUGGGACUCACAUGGUAAAAUGACAGAAUGCCAGGUGUGUCAUGGCAUACAUACUCACACACAUGCACUCACAUACACACAUGCAAAUAAAUGUGAAAAAAAUGUUAAAGAUGCCUUUAGCUCCUGGGCUUGGUAGUUGUGAUGACUAUUCUUGGUUGUCAGCUUAACUACAUCUGGAAUUAACUAAAACCCCCAAAUAGAGGGAACACCCAUGAGGAAUUUCUGCUUAACUUGAAGUGAGAAGAUCUACUUCUAGUCUGGAUCUUUAAAGUAAAAAGACACAACUUUAAUCCAGAUCUUUAAUCUAGAUCUAAUCUGGGCCAUGACUUCUUCUGGAAACCUGUAUAAAAACGUGGAAGAAGGAAGCUUUUGUUCUUUGCCUGCUUGCCCUUGCCUGGCUAACAAGUCCAUUCCUUCACUGGCAUUACAGCUUACUUCUUCAGGAUUCCAGCAUCUACUGAAGACCAGCUGAGACAUCCGGUCUUGUGGACUUAGAAUCAUCUGGAAUUUUCGACUUUCUGUUCAUAGCCCACCAUUGUUGGUCUAGGUGG
rnacentral:lncRNA from 1 species